UUAAUAAACCUUUAAAAAGGGAGAAACAAAUAAAUUGGAUGUUACAUAAGACAGACUUAGAGCCAAAUCAUACUCCUGCUCCUUUGAAAGUGUUAUGGGACCAGUUUAGAAAGGGGUGUUGUGAGGAUAAACCGAUUGAUGGCUGUGAGAGGCUCAGAUACUAUAACGAUGGGGACCAUGGGGAAGAAGGCAACAAUUGGCAUCGGUUAAUGUGUCGGACUCACUGAAGAGGUGAGUCUUGAAUGAGAAGAGAAG